AGCACUUCCGAGACCGUCGGGAUUGUGAUGUCGCCAUUCUGGCCGAGUAACGUCAAUCCAGCCAUAAUGCCCAGGAAGAAGCUAGGACGAGAAAAAAAGUAAAAAGUGUGCCUCAGGCAAGUUGACCAGAUUUCUGAGACAAAAUCGGGGGACGUUUUGGUUCAGAGGCGUAAAGACCUUCAAAACAUGGCGUGUUUUUUGUAAUUGAAAAACUAAAACGGGGACAUUGUGCCCUUACCAUUCAUAAAGCAGAUCAAGAACAACCAUAAAAUCAGCUGCAAAAAAUAGGUAGACACUUCGCCCAAACUAUGGCCUACUCCUUAUUCAUGGCAUACUAAAAUAGUGUAAAUAAUAUGACUACUAACCAGUGACUGAACGUAUUAGAUGGCACAAAGAGAGUGGUGCUGGCUGGUUGCUGGCGGGAAGGCAAGAAGGGAGUCAAGGAUGCGCAUUAUGACACUACUGACGAUGGUUUGGCUGGAAAUUUGGUUUUAUGUUCUUGGAAGGCGGGUGAAACGAGAUAGUGUAUCUGCUGAAGAGUCUGGAUGCGAAGACACUUUUUCUCGGGGAAUGGAUUUGAUCCAACCGGAAAUACCAGAUAAUAGAUGACAGCUUACAACGAACGUCAGCAAACCCACCAAUGAACGGACGACGGUAAUUAGGGAAAUGACAUGGACACAAUGCAAGGUUUCCAACAUACAGCUUAUCUUGUUUGUACUGGUACUGAUUUUUCAGGCAUUUUUCUCGUGUGGGACUAGUCCAAAACAAAGGGAAUUCAAUUUAGUCAUGGCUCAAUCAUUGAAAGAACCGAAGACCUAUUCCUUACAUCAAGUAACAUAAUUCUGGAAGUUGAUAUGCAAGCGAUUUUCUUGCCAGAAAACGAUGUCAUCAAUUUGAAAUUAGACUUAUCUCGAUUUGCUGAGUCACUGAAUCAACUGCACAGCUGCACAGAACUCGAGCGAUUAACAUCCGCUCACUCAGACCUUGGGUAUCGCUGAGUUGAUGUUUUUUGAUUUGCAAAAUAAGACGGCCGAAACAGAAUGCUUAGCACGCGACCUUCUUAAGUGGACCAUUCCACACACCAGAGUAGAAGGGCAUAACCCUUUUAUAUUUGCCGCACUUCAUCUGUUCGGUUCCGUAGCAAGCUUAGGCCUUGGAAUUUCUAAUCGUCUUAAAAUUAACGAUCAGAAUAAGAGAAUUGAAUUUUUACAGCACAAACAUGAAUCAAUUUUCUCUUAACUUCGUAAACAGUUAGAAUCAAUAAAUGAGCUUGUGACGUUAGUGAACGAACAUUUUAGUAAAUAAAUCAUAUCAAGGACGCGCAAUCUUUGCUAGUAACUUUAGCAUAUUACAAUACGAAGAUGGAUCAUAUACAUACUAAGAUUUCUCAUUUCAUUGAAAAAUCCAAAGAUUAUGUUGAAGCCAUAACCCUCGGAACUAAAGGAGUCCUGUUGCCGCACUUGUUACCUAUCAAAGACUUAACGUUAACCUUGGAGAAUGCACGUGACAAACUUGGUUACACUCCUUUGUUAGAAGCGCAGAUUGAGUUCUAUUAUAGCCUAAUCUCAGUCAGCGUAGAACAUUAUAGAAUCAUGAUUAAUAUCCCCUUUGAUCCUUCUGCUGCAUGGGAAUCCUAUAAAGUAGCUCCAUUUCCCACUUACAUGUAAAAUAGCUCAUUACCAGUAAUAUCAAAUCUGUCUGGGUACGUAUUAAUUUCCCCUAAGAAAGAAACUUUUACAGUUGUCAGAGACCUAGAAUCGUUCGCUAAUUGCUACACAGCCAUGGAUAAAAAGGUUUGCAUGGCUGAUUCCUUUGAAUUCCGCAAUGUGUCCGAGGCUUCGUGUGAGUUAUACCUAGCCUUUAAUGGAACUUUGCCCCAUACGCGAGAACACUGCUUGGAUCACCUCUACCCUUAUGACAAGUAUAAGUUCGUUCACAGGCUGAACAACAGAACCUGGCUGAGACUCUCCCUACAACUGUUUUGGGUCAACUGUCCGGAUGGAUCAGCUACAGAUUCUCAUCUGUUCAUCGCUUCCGACGGCUGCAGUGGAGCAACGGAAAAACUACACCAUCCACGAGAUAAGCAGAAUAAUCCAGGAGAGGUCCUACAUCACGAAUUUUAGCUGGGGCACUACCCACAUCGCGGCCCUCCCACUGCCCUACAAUAAGAAAGUAGCCAAGCAACUGAGGCGUUCAGCUACUAUGGAUCCAGUCCACCCCGCUUACGAUGCUAAUGAGGAUCUUUGAUACUAUUGCGGUACUAGCUACAGUUAUGGUCUCAGUGGCGGUUACCAUAGCCGUGAAUGUAUUCGUUUGGCGCAGGAUGAGAACAAGAAUUGCUCACCAACAGAACAUCAGAGACCGUCCAGACAAUCUCCCAUAUACCCUCAAGCCAUGGGACUUCCACAUUAUUUGAACCCGGCCAAUUCAUUGAUGCGAGGUGAUUUGUUUGGAAUUGUGAAGUGCGUGAAAAGUUGAACAGUAUAUUGAUUAGAUUGUGAAGUAGAGGACCUCAUUAAUGCAUUCCAUGUGUAAAAUUAUCAGUAUAUUAAUCUAUCAGUGCGCACCUACCUGAAGCAUACAUAAUUAAUCUAACAGCGCACACCUAUCUGAAGCAUAUAUAAUUAAUCUAACAGCACGCACCUAUCUGAAGAAUUUUAAUCAAUACAUAUAUAGGCCUUAUAUCUUAUAUUUUAUCUCUCACAAGGUACCAUUAAUUUGUAUCCUUAUAUUAAUACAUAUAAUCUUUGUGUGUCAUGUAACUACCAGAAAUGCACUAGUAUUUUGGUGGAGUGUUUACCUUCAUGACUUGCAUUUAUGUAAGUAUAUCAAUAUAGCAUAUAUAUAAAACCUUUUGGAUUUAAACCAAUUCGAGUGCAUAAGAUUUUUACCUAUAUAUCCUUACAAUUUUUUCUUAGAAUAUGUAUCAUUAUUAUUUACAUUAUAACCAUGCUUUAUUAUUUUAUUGAUUAAUAGUCAAUUAUUUACCGUUGAAUAUUCAUGAUUUUGUAUUAUCCAUAUCUGAAAUAGCACUCGCACACAUCCUGUGGAAAGGCAUUUUUCAACCUGACUGGCCUAAUAUACUUAAUUUUGUUAUCGUGACCGAGCAAUAUGUAAUAUUCAAAUUACAUGAUAAAAGUAAUGUAGCACAUUCCUUAGAAGAAAGGGCAUAACACUUAAUCAGUCAGGGGUCAACCCGGAAAGUAUGCCUAAAACCACAGUCACAGGAUGCGUGUGAAGGUUAGCUAAGCAUAAAUAGAAAACACGAACGUCAACCUCCUUGCAUGGGAACCUACUUUGGCUCUCAUGAGAACUUAAAUGAUGAGUUGUCUUAACCUGAAAAGAGGUGUUCGUUCAUACACACAUAUCUUUUGUUAGGUUUGCUAACCUAUCACUUUGUAAAUCAAUCUGUAAGAGAUCAAUUCCUCUUUCUCCUUCUCUAACGUCAGAAAUCAUUCAAAAAUUUGCCAUGUUGAUAUCAAAUACACCAACUUUUCUGUCUUGGGCCCAUCCAUUAAGCAGUUGGCGCCAUGAUUGAACUCACACACCACUUCUGUACCCCUGUAUUUGGCGUGAGCAUGUCUUCGUGGCUCUGCCUUCCCUCCUUGUCAUUCAGCUGUCAUCUUCUGACAGAGCAGGUGCUUCUUUUAAAUACUGUUGUUUGUUUCCUUUUUAUAUUUUUAUUAUUUUUUUUUGUCUCUUUGUUUUACAAUCUUAACUAGUUUAGGAACUUUUCAAUUAAGAAUGGUUGUUUUUAUAUGUUUUGAUUAUGUGAUAUGUAUUUUAACUCGUCUGUCCAAUUUAUUUCAGCCCUGAUGAUGUAACAAGCUUUAGUUACGAAACACGUUGGCAAAUAAAUGAAUAUUUUUCUGUCAA